rnacentral:tRNA from 1 species
GCCUCCAUCGUCUAGUGGACCAGGACAGCGGCCUUUCAAGCCGCAAACAGGGAUUCGAAUUCCCUUGGAGGCACCA